CUACAACAUAUGCAGCACAGGAAAAUUUGGAGAACAUAAUUGUACCUCAAUCUCCAGAUAAUGUUAUUAUCCCUGAUAAAGGGAAGUAUUCUGAUAGUAACACUGCUGUGAUCUCUCAGUCUGAUGAGAGUUUGAAUACUUUGUCUGUGCAUGAUGAAUCUGCUAAGAAAGAUAAUAAUGCAGAUUCCAAUGCUAUUGAUGUGGACAAUCUCACCCUUACAGAGAGGACUCAUGCUCCUAGUACUAGGAGGUUAAGAUGCAAUGCUGGUAAGAGUGUGCCUGUUUAUAGUGUUCCUGUCAAGACUACCACGGAAAAGAAAAUAUAUGGUCUUAAAAGACAGUGGAGUAAG
rnacentral:lncRNA from 1 species